UCUUUCUUUGUAUAUAUCUUUGAUCAAAUCAGGCCAAAGAUCAAUAUUUUCAUCUGCCAAAUUUCUCUCCUUUUCUUUUUCUAGGAAAACACACACACACACACCUAAUUCAUUUCUCAAGUUUCCUCUCUUUCAGUGUAUAAAAUUAGGGUUUCUGGGGGGGAAGAAGAUAGAUGCCUUCUUCAAAAAUCUAAUUUCUGCUGGGAUAUAUGCAACAAGUGGAAAUCCAAUUUACAUCGAGAUGAAGUGGAGAGGUUGCAGCUUAUCAAGACAAUUAUGAAUUAUGUUUGUGGAGGCAUCUUAGUUUUUCAUGAUAUAUAUACACGAAAAGAUUAAAUUUCUCAUUUUUUGUAUAAUUGUAUUUGCGACGAGAUUCUCUGGUAAUUAAUGAGUAUUAAUUUAAUCAGUUAACAUGCACAAUUAUUGUUGGAGCGUAUAUAAAUAAAGGCAAAUUAUUGGGUGCGACCGGUUUGAAAGUUUACAUUUCUUCACAAUAAUAUUUACUUUUAUUCAUAAAUUUUUUUACUUUUAGUUAUUUUCACUCAUUAAUACUUAUAUUCUUAACUAUUUAGUCAAAUAAUCAUUGUCGUACAAAAAGUAAUUAUUGUUACAAUGAAAUGUAAUAUUUCUAAAGUAUUACAUUUAUUCAUGAUAAGUGUUACUUUUAUUUAUUAGAACUUGUACUAUUACGAAUAUAUAUCUUAUGCUUAUUAAAAGUAAUCGAUCGCAUAUAUAGUAUGCGGCCGGUCGCAUGCAAGACCAACUGAUAAAUAAAUAUUUAUCGAAAACAUGGUUAAUGAAUUGCUUUAAACGAUUUAGAACUUUCUCCUGGCCAGACAGCUAAAUUCUUGCUAAUUAGGAUGCAAUGAUUUUAUUUAAUCAUCAUAUGUCUCUUAUUGUAUAGGAGAAUUAUCAAAUAAAAAUCAUCGACAUAAUUCUAUAAAAUAAAAAUCAAUUUAAUCCGUAAAUUUUUAUCGAUAGAUAUUUAAGAUUGAUUUUGUAUGUCUUUUACACACAAAUUAAUGCUUUUUUAUGAUUAUAAUUUUUUAAACAUAAAAUAAUAUUUUCUUUGUUAUUAUGCUUUUUCAAAUACGAAAUAAUGUUUUUAUUAUAUUAAAGUUAUACCUUUAUUCACAAUUAACAGAAUGGUUUGUGUAUUCUCAUUUUAAGUAAGGUUUAUUAUAUGAACCACUUUUUCUUAUAUAUAAGUAUAUUAUCACUACAAAAAUAAUCCUGAUUAAUAGCGGAUUUUAGUGACAGAAGGGAUUAUUUAUAUAUUCUCAUUGUAAAAAUUGCAGCGUUAAUAUUUCCGUCAUUAACGACGAUAAUUAGUGUUCGUCGUUAAUCCGUCGCUAAUCUGUACUUAAAGUUAUGUCACGUUAUGAUUUUUUAUUGUUUUUCAAAUCAUUAUUAGAAGUCAGGUAUAUCAUAUUGUGUUAUUCUUAAUAAUUGAUAAACCACAUUAUAAUGUCCAA